CUGUCUUUGGAGACAGGGCCUUUAAAGAAGUAAUUAAGGCAAAGUGGGGUCAUAUGGGUGGCCUUUAAUCCAAUCCUUAUAAGAUGAGGAGAUCAGGACAGAGGCAGGUGGGGAGGGAGACCCAUGCAAGAAGACGGUCACCUGCUAGCCAACAAGAGAGACCUCAGAUUGAGAUCAAGUCAAAUCAGACACCUUAAUCUUGGACUUCCAGACUCCAGAACUGUGUAGUGGAGACCAAUGAUGCACAGAUUCCUCAAGCUGCUCAGAGCCUAGCGGGGGCUGUGGAACCCCGGAGGAGCACAGGCGGAAGGAGUAAUGAAUGCACCGCGUGUCUCUGGGAAAUUAAGGCCCUGCUGCCCGGUCUGCUUAUCACCUCUGAGGCUGCCCUCUGAUCCCUUGCUAAGUGCCAGGCUCCCUGGAGAAGAGCCCAGAACCAGGACUUGGAGUCCAGAGGUAAAGAGGCCUGCUGUUCACAGUAGAGUUUCCCUGUGAUUGGCCACCAUCAGCGCCCACACGCCUACAGGGUCCCAAGGAAGAGCCCAUGUGGACACCUCAGCCCUUACACUGGACCACUUUUGGUGGUCUCACCAGCCAGCCAUCAUCAGGAAGAAAUGUGUCUUGGCUGGAGGCCCACGUUUCGUUCUAGCACAUCCUUUUUACCAAAAGAGCCGUCCCUGGAGCUGCCAACAGUGUUUACAAGAAAACCAUCCAACAAUAGUUUGGAUCUGGGAGCGUGGCCUGACCACAGACGUGGCCUUCCCCACCCUGAGAACCAUCCAUCAGGAAGCCUGGCACGUGAUACGAAAAGGCAGAGGUGCAGAAAGAGACGCUGUGCAUGUCCCUGCAAGAAUGAUACAAGAUGACUGAGAAAUGUCAUCUGAGAGAAGGGGAAGGACCAGCCCUACAUUAAAAAGGGAGCACUGAGCAUCAGUGAGAAUCCUGAAGUGGCCUGAAGCUGGGAGCUGCAGCCCUGUUUUCCUGGGCCAGAGCCUGUAGUGGAGGAGAAGACAAGGAAGCAGGCUGCCAUCGAGGGUGUCUAUAACAGAAAAGUAUUGAUUCCUCAGGUAAGACCGCCUUUGGACAGCCAGGGGAUUACAAUUAGUUUGGGAGGAAAGAGGAAGGGAUCCAGGACUGAGGGGAUGAUGACCACUGAGAGACAACCUGAGGCUCUCAGGCAGGGCCUGGAUGCCGAGGCAGAGCAGUCCUCCCACCUGUGAUGCUUAGCUCCACCUGACUCUGCACAUCAGCAUCAGGAUUUGAGGUGGUGCUCACGAGUGCGUGGCUGUCAUGGGCUGGAUUGCACCUGUCUGAAUGUCAUACGCUGAAGCUUGAACCUGUAUUUGGAGAUAAGUUCUUUAAAGAGGUAAUUAAGGUUAAAUGAGGUCAUAAGUAUGGGGCUCUAAUCUGAUUGGACUAGUGUCCUUAUGAGAAAGGAAAGUGACACCAGAGUCCGCACAUGCACCCAGAGAAGAGGCUGUGAGUAGACACAAGACAUCGUAAGAAAGCCAAGGAGACAAGCAUCAUGCUAAAGCUGCUGGCACUUGAUGUUGGGCUUUUAGCCUGUAGAACUGUAAGAAAAUAAAUUUCUGUCAUUCAGGGCUCCCAGUCUGUGAUAUUUUGUUAUGGCAGUCUGAGCAGAGGAAUACAGAGCUGGAAGUCUCAAACCAGGGAAGAGCAGAAAGAGUUUGGGCAUUGCCCAAGCAAAGGGGGCUUGGAUUCUUUUUGCCAACUCCAGAGGGGCAUGUAGCCUCUAUCUGUGAGUCUCAGCAGAAUGGCACUGCCCUGGGCUCUUCACACACUGAUAUUCUGUGCUUUAUCCUGUUCUGAGGUCCUGAAAACUAGACAUAUUCCUAUCAUUAGCUGGGGUCUUUCAAGGAAGGUGGUGAAAGGAACACUGAUGGCCUUUGUAGCCAUAGGACUCUACCUAUAGGAAGAACGCACAUAGUGGUUCAUCAUUGAAUGUGUCUUAGUGGGAUUUUUAAACUGCAAGAUCAGAAAUCUUUUACUUCCAGAGAGAGGAGCAAAAAUGGGCUAAUUGUAAAUGAGUAUUUACCUGACUCAGAUUAUAUUUUCCAGAUACUGUUCAGUGAAACCAAAUCAGGUGACUGUCAAAUAUACACGAUGUUCAGCAGAAAUUGUCAAGAUAUUUUCACUGCAGAGGAGAGAGUUCUAAUAUGUACAACAGCUGCAAAGCAUCAGACAGAUUCCCUCGUCCACCCUCCUGCCCACCAUUAGCAGAGUUAAUUUCCAGGGAUCCUCCCAAGGUUUCUCUGACUACCACUCAGGCCAUGUCAGCAGCCAAGCUCUGGAUCCUGGGUCCAGCUUCCACUCUCAGCCCCUCUGUCUGCUGCCUUUUCCUUUAGAUCCCAUUUAAGAUCAAACACUGAAUGUUGUCCAAGCAAUUACUGUGCACUCAGCUCCACGCUUUGCUGAAUGAUGAGAUAGCGAGUGCAGUGACCUCUGCGGUCACUUCCAACCUGAGAGCCAGGGUGGAAGGAUGUUCCUCCUCAGAGCUCUCAGUCUUGCUCUCUCCAGGAAGCCUCCCUGAUUUCAGACAAAGGAAGUGUUCACUAAGCCCGGUUAAUUCCCUUUCCUCCUGCAUAUAGAGAUAGACUAUAUUUUCCUACCUCCCCUUUGUGGCAAUGUGGUCCAUGUGACAAUAGAAUGUGGGUGGGAGUGAUGUAUGUCAUUUCCAAACUUGGCUUCUAACGCCUUCACUUUUUGCCUGUCUGCCAGUGGGAGAGGGAGAAAGCAGUGUAAGAUGCCAAGGUCCUGGGAGAUGGUGGAAUCUGCUCUAUCUGAAAACCCUGGAUCCCUUAGUGAGUACGUGGAGCAGAGCCUCCUCUGCCCCCUACUGCAUUAGACAGUGAGAAGAGUAAGAAAUAAACCUGUAUUGUGGUGAAGUCACUGAAAACUGGAAGUUGGUUGUUACAACAAUUACCUGUCUAGACUAGUACACUGACUCUCAAAGUUGAAAAUAAUAGUCAUUUGAUCUCUAAUUGAACAUGGCUUCAGACAGGAGCUCGUGAACAUGUGUAGACAAUUUUCUAAUACAGUAGAGUUAUGCAUGCAAACUGUGGCCUGACUGACUCCAGAGAGUAUGCUCCCAAUCUGUUUCUUCUUGAACAUUCUCUGGCUGGGCUGCAGUGUUAACCAUCAGGUGCUAUGCAAGAGUGUAGGAGAAAACCUAACUCGUGCUCUUCCUAAGCUUGAGAAAAAUUAUCAAACGUGCAUAUAGGCAUUUUCAUAGCAUUGUGUAAAUUGUGUUCCUCCUUAUUUCACCAGCAGUUCCCAUCUCAUCCUCUAUCUGAAGAAACAGAAGCAGCCUUGGGGCUGGACCUCGGAUCAUCUCCUGGGUAACCACUGGACUGAAGGCAGCAAACUCAAAGAGAGUAGGCUUUUAGAGAUGGCCUCUGUGGCACUUUGCAAACCCUUCUGGGCUGCCCAGAGCUCAGCUGAGAUGCAGAAAUCUGUGGUGACAGACUAGGUCUGCAGCCCACAUGCACACGGUGGCAGAGAGGCCAGUGGGGUCUAAGGCUGGGGGCCCAGGACUCCUGAGAUACUCUUCUUCUAUUUAAUUGGAACAUUCACAGAUAGAGAAAUUUGUAGAUUCUCAACCAUUCCUUUGCAGCUGCCUCUCUAGUCUGGGCCUUGGCAUCACUUGCUUUGGUAUAAAUCAUAUUCUAUCAGCGUAACUGCAGGGCUUUGGGGAUCAUUUUGGAAUACGACAAUGUUAAUGCACUGGGUUUUGUUCCAAGCAGUGAGCCACCUCCUGGGAUUUGGGGAUCUCUCUUUUAAAUCCAGAUAGCACUAAUGAGCUAGUAAGGGCUGCUGACCCCCUUGACUCAGCCUCUCACUCCUGGGGCUGCUCUGAACAUUGGAACUAGCCACAUCAGCUCUGUACUGCAGCCAGCCAUGGGCCUGAUACAGUCAUGGCUUUCCAUGCAACUGGUUCCACCCGGAGGCAUGCAAACUGCAAUUUCUUCUUUCUUUCUUUUUUAAAUUACCAACUGCACCUAAAAGUGCUUUGCACAUGUAGGCUCUGGGUAAACGUUUGUGGUUAUUUUGAUGUCAUGUGCGCUGGUGUCCUUUAUCACAGGGUUUGGCCAAGAGCUUUCUCUAAUCCUAUCCCCAAGCAAAAAAUUAUGCUGGGAUGCCAAGGAAAUGGUCCUUGAAAAAGGAGGGAAAUGAAGAAAGACACAUAGCAACAGGCAGUUGAAUAUCAUUUAACUUUUUAGCCAGGUCUGUCUCUCAGUGCCCCAGAUUUACAUUUACCCACUCAAAAAAGCCUGAUACAGGACUUACUGUGCAUGAGGGGUGGUUCUAAGUGGUUUCUAAAUGUUUACUAACUUAGCAUUCUGUACUACUUUACCAAUCUGUACUAGGCUUCCCCAGUGGCUCAGUGGUAAAGAAUCUACCUGCAGGAGAUGCAGGAGAGGCAGGUUCGAUCCCUGGGUGGAAAAGAUCCCCUGGAGAAGGAAAUGACAACCCACUCCAGUAAUUUCACCUGGGAAAUCCCAUGGACAGAGGAGCCUGGUGGGCUACAGUGCAUGGGGUUGCAAAAAGUUGGAUAUGACCAACUGACUGAGCACACGCUCUGUUUUUUAUAACUAUUUUACAAUAAGAAAUGUAGGACAACAGAGAGGUUAGGGAACUUGUCCAAAGUCACACAGCUAGUAAGCGGUGGCACCAGGAUUUGAAGUUGCAAAGUCUGGUUCCAGGGAGCACAUACUUAAUCACUGUGCUGUUACUCCUGUGCCCAAAACUAGUCUCAGAUGGUUUGUACUCUCUGGAAUGUUGUUUUUCCUCUUCUUCACAUUUCUAAAUCCUAGCUCAUCUUUCAAGACUAACUUAAAACCUGGUUCCCACAGGAAGCCUUUCUGAAUAUUCUGCAGCAAACUCCAAUAACUCAGUGUCUUGGAGCAUGGCAUUUGGAAUUAAACUGUAUAAACCUGGUUCCAAACCCAGCCCUGCCACUUACUAGCUUUAUCACCUUAAGUCAGUUACUUAACUUCCAUAAGCUAAGUUUUCUUAUCUGUAAGAUGGAGAUAAAUAUUGCACCUACCUCACAGGGCUGUUCAGAUGAUUAAUUGAAUUAUGAUAUCCAAAAUGCUUAGAAGAGUGCUUGACUUAUGCUGUAUGCUGUUUAUACAUUUCAUUGUUAUUAUUGCUGUUAUUAGCAUGACUUCAAAUUCUCCUCUCCUAUUAUUGCUGAGUCAGGUCUUCUUUCCUUGCCUAAUCCUUAUCUCCUGCAAGAUUGCAGGCUUAUCUACUCUUAAAGAUUGGUUGUGUGUGUAUAUAUAUAAAAUAUAUAAAUAGUAUCAUUAAUAUGAAUACAUUAUUAAUACUUGCCAACUAGUAGUAAUAUGUAUUUUAAUUCCAUGGCAUUGCAAUUAGUAUACUGCAGAUAAUAAACAUUCAUUUAAUGUGAACAAUUAAUUAAUGACUUGAAGAUACCUAGUAUUACAUCCAUGACCACAAAGCUUCAAAAAUCUCUCUCCUACUGAAUUGCAUAUAAAUAUGUCACAGGUCUUCAUUGAUUUUGGAAUGGUGCACCUCAGGGAAAAUUGAAUGCCAUUGUUUAAAGAAAACCAUCUCCUAAAUAAAUGAACAGUUGCACUCAUUAACUGGGGGGAUUCAGUUAAAAUAGGGCACAGACUUUGUGGGAUUUAAAUAUCAAUAGUCCAUAGAGAAGCAUCAGCCUUCAAGAAUGUGUGGCUCCUGAUGUGAUCUUCUUAACCUUUGCUUCCUAGUCUGGUCUUCAGAGAGGCAACCACUUAUUUACAAUGAAGACUCUGCAGAUACACCAUGCCAGGUAACGGAGAAACAAUUUGAAGACUGAUGUCUUAUUAUCACUUGAGGGACCCAGCAAAGAACCACUUACAAAACCUUCUCUAUUAUUUGACUAUUUAGGUCCUCAGGUUCAUUGACUUCAGAAUAUCAUUAAGGAAUCCUCCUCAAGUCAGUGAGUCUCUCUGACUUACAAGGAGUCAGGAGGCUGCUGAAAGCUUCCUGUGGUGGAUUACAGUGGACUAGGUCUCUGCAAGGCAGAUACAUGCUGCUCCUGCUGAAAAUAGGGACCAGAAUUUAACUCCAAGCGUGUGGCUGGCUCAGCACAAGGAGAUGAACUCAAUUUAAAGGGGCAGGGUCUCCUGCAGUCUUCCUGUGGGCUAUUAUUGUUUUGGGGGGUUAGCCUUUGGAAAGGAGGCAGGGAAAGGGUGAUGGAUGACAGAACCUACUUUUCUUAGAAAGAACAGAACCGCAUAAGCCUGCUCUGGUUCCCCAGAGCACUCUGUCUGGAGCACUGGCUCCUCACCCAUCCCUGUGGUCCUCAGUAGGGCUUCAGAGAGCCAUGAUAAGGAAGAUAAAUCACCAGGAAGCAGGUGUGAGGUUAACGCUUCAAUCCCCUACCCUCCAUUCCUCACUUCUCAAAGGCUUUCACAUAGAACCCUGGAUAGCUUGAGGGUUUUUUUCUUUCUUCCAGUUCUGGGGCAGGUUUGGGAUGAGCUGGUAUAUCAUCUCAUACUCUCCUGGCCACCCCGAAUAAGCUAUCCAUGGAAAAUAUCCUACUGAUUGUUUAGCUUUUCUAUUUAUUUCUGUAUGGCUGUGCUGGGUCUUUGUUGAGGUGCGGGCUUUCUCUAGUUGUGGUGAGCAGGGGCUACUCUUUGGUGUGGUGUGCGGGCUUCUCAUUGUGGUGGGUGGGUUCUCCUGUUGCAGAUCACAGGCUCUAAGUGGUAAAUAAGUGGUUUCUUAAUUGUGGCACACAGGCUUAGUUACCCCAUGGGCAUGUGGAAUCUUCCCAGACCAGGGAUCUAACCCAUGUCUGCCUGCAUUGGCACAUGGAUUCUUAACCACCUUACUACCAGGGAGCACCCAUGUUUAGCCUUUUUUUUUUUUUUUUUUUUUUGCCUUCUGGCUUGGGAGGUAUGUAGGAAAGAAGAUGAAUGGAUAGGCUCAGGAAAGAGGAAGUGGCAAGUGUCCUGGUAGAAAAGCAGUGGCCACCCUGUGGUGAUUGUCCUGGGGUUGCUGUGUGUGUACUUCUGAGUGGGUGUCCCAGUGCUUCUAAAAUCACAUUCUCCAUAACUCUUUUAAAGCAUGCUUAGUAUUGUGAGCCAUUGUCAGGAGUAUCCUUUUCCUUGUUACACCUCAGCACCUUCUCCAUAACAUUAGGCUUCUUUUCACACAUUUUACUUGAUUCGAUGUUUCAAGCACAGUGUAAAUCACCAUCUCUAAUCAUCUCUCCAUUUGUUUCCCUUGUCUCCAUGUCAACCAGCAGAACUCUGUUCCAGUUCUCAUCAGUUCACACUCAGAUGAUGGGGGUUCAACUGGACAUUCUGUCUCUCUUCUCCUUGUUGUUGUUUAGUCACUAAGUCAUGUCUGACUCUUCAUGACCCCAUGGACUAUACCCCAUCAGGCUUCUCUG